rnacentral:rRNA from 1 species
AGUUGUAUCUGGCUCAGGAUGAACGCUGGCGGCGUGCUUAACACAUGCAAGUCGAACGGAGUUUUAAACGGAAGUUUUCGGAUGGAAGUUUAGAAACUUAGGUAGGCGGACGGGUGAGUAACGCGUGGUAACCUGCCUCAUACAGGGGGAUAACAGUUAGAAAUGACUGCUAACACCGCAUAAUAUAGCGAAACCGCAUGAUUUUUGCUAUCAAAUAUUUAUAGGUAUGAGAUGGGCCCGCGUCUGAUUAGCUAGUUGGUGGGGUAAAAGCCUACCAAGGCGACGAUCAGUAGCCGGCUUGAGAGAGUGACCGGCCACAUUGGGACUGAGACACGGCCCAAACUCCUACGGGAGGCAGCAGUGGGGAAUAUUGGACAAUGGGGGAAACCCUGAUCCAGCCGACGCCGCGUGAGUGAAGAAGUAUUUCGGUAUGUAAAGCUCUAUCAGCAGGGAAGAUAAUGACAGUACCUGACUAAGAAGCCCCGGCUAACUACGUGCCAGCCGCCGC